rnacentral:rRNA from 1 species
CCUACGGGAGGCAGCAGUGGGGAAUAUUGGGCAAUGGAGGAAACUCUGACCCAGCAAUGCCGCGUGAAUGAAGAAGGUCCUCGGAUUGUAAAGUUCUUUAGUCAGGGAAGAAGUCAAUGACGGUAUCUAACGAAUAAGCACCGGCUAACUCCGUGCCAGCAGUCGCGGUAAUACGGAGGCUGCAAGCGUUACUCGGAUUCACUGGGCGUAAAGAGCGCGUAGGCGGGAUAGCAAGUCAGAUGUGAAAUGCUAUGGCUUAACCAUAGAACUGCAUUUGAAACUGUUAUUCUAGAGUAUGGGAGAGGUAGGUGGAAUUCUUGGUGUAGGGGUAAAAUCCGUAGAGAUCAAGAGGAAUACUGAUUGCGAAGGCGGCCUGCUAGAGCAUAACUGACGCUGAUGCGCGAAAGCGUGGGGAGCAAACAGGAUUAGAUACCCGUGUAGUC